UACAGAGGAUGCAAGCGUUAUCCGGAAUGAUUGGGCGUAAAGCGUCUGUAGGUGGCUUUUUAAGUCCGCCGUCAAAUCCCAGGGCUCAACUCUGGACAGGCGGUGGAAACUACCAAGCUUGAGUACGGUAGGGGCAGAGGGAAUUUCCGGUGGAGCGGGUGAAAUGCGUAGAUAUCGGGAGGAACACCAGUGGCGAAGGCGAUCACCUGGGGUUGUUCUGACGCUGAGGAGCGAAAGCUAGGGGAGCAACGGG
rnacentral:rRNA from 1 species